AGUGAACGCUGGCGGUAGGCCUAACACAUGCAAGUCGAACGGCAGCACAGUAAGAGCUUGCUCUUACGGGUGGCGAGUGGCGGACGGGUGAGGAAUACAUCGGAAUCUACUUUUUCGUGGGGGAUAACGUAGGGAAACUUACGCUAAUACCGCAUACGACCUACGGUUGAAAGCAGGGGAUCUUCGGACCUUGCGCGAUUGAAUGAGCCGAUGUCGGAUUAGCUAGUUGGCGGGGUAAAGGCCCACCAAGGCGACGAUCCGUAGCUGGUCUGAGAUGAUGAUCAGCCACACUGGAACUGAGACACGGUCCAGACUCCUACGGGAGGCAGCAGUGGGGAAUAUUGGACAAUGGGCGCAAGCCUGAUCCAGCCAUACCGCGUGGGUGAAGAAGGCCUUCGGGUUGUAAAGCCCUUUUGUUGGGAAAGAAAAGCAGCAGGUUAAUACCCCGCUGUUCUGACGGUACCCAAAGAAUAAGCACCGGCUAACUUCGUG
rnacentral:rRNA from 1 species